rnacentral:rRNA from 1 species
CAGUAGCCGCGGUAAUACGUAGGGUGCGAGCGUUAAUCGGAAUUACUGGGCGUAAAGCGUGCGCAGGCGGUUUUGUAAGACAGGCGUGAAAUCCCCGGGCUCAACCUGGGAAUGGCGCUUGUGACUGCAAAGCUAGAGUGCGGCAGAGGGGGAUGGAAUUCCGCGUGUAGCAGUGAAAUGCGUAGAUAUGCGGAGGAACACCGAUGGCGAAGGCAAUCCCCUGGGCCUGCACUGACGCUCAUGCACGAAAGCGUGGGGAGCAAACAGGAUUAGAUACCCGCGUAGUCCCUGUCUCUUAUAA